rnacentral:rRNA from 1 species
GAUUAACGCUGGCGGCGUGCAUAACACAUGCAAGUCGAACGAUGAAACUUAACUGAUUUCUUCGGAAUGAUUUUAAGUGGAUUAGUGGCGGACGGGUGAGUAACGCGUGAGUAACCUGCCUUGGAGAAGGGGAUAGCCUUUGGAAACGAAGAAUAAUACCCUAUGAUAUGAUAAUAUCUCAUGAUAUUAUCUUCAAAGAUUUAUCGCUCUAAGAUGGACUUGCGUCUGAUUAGUUAGUUGGUGAGGUAACAGCUCACCAAGGCAGCGAUCAGUAGCCGGCUUGAGAGAGUGUACGGCCACAUUGGGACUGAGACACGGCCCAGACUCCUACGGGAGGCAGCAGUGGGGAAUUUUGCACAAUGGGGGAAACCCUGAUGCAGCGACGCCGCGUGAUUUAGAAGGCCUUCGGGUUGUAAAAAUCUUUUGUAUGGGAAGAAAAUGACAGUACCAUACGAAUAAGGACCGGCUAAUUACGUG